rnacentral:rRNA from 1 species
GAUGAACGCUGGCGGUAUGCCUAACACAUGCAAGUCGAACGGAACCUUCGGGUUUAGUGGCGGACGGGUGAGUAACGCGUGAGAAUCUGCCUUCAGGAUGGGGACAACAAUUGGAAACGAUUGCUAAUACCCGAUAUGACGAAAGUUGAAAGAUUUAUCGCCUGGAGAUGAGCUCGCGUCAGAUUAGCUAGAUGGUGUGGUAAAGGCGCACCAUGGCGACGAUCUGUAGCUGGUCUGAGAGGAUGAGCAGCCACACUGGGACUGAGACACGGCCCAGACUCCUACGGGAGGCAGCAGUGGGGAAUUUUCCGCAAUGGGCGCAAGCCUGACGGAGCAAUACCGCGUGAGGGAGGAAGGCUCUUGGGUCGUAAACCUCUUUUCUCAGGGAAGAACGAAAUGACGGUACCUGAGGAAUCAGCAUCGGCUAACUCCGUGCCAGCAGCCGCGGUAAUACGGAGGAUGCAAGCGUUAUCCGGAAUGAUUGGGCGUAAAGCGUCCGUAGGUGGUUCUGUAAGUCUGUGGUUAAAGCGUGGGGCUCAACCCCAUAACGGCCAUGGAAACUACAAGACUUGAGUGAAGUAGGGGUAGAGGGAAUUCCCAGUGUAGCGGUGAAAUGCGUAGAGAUUGGGAAGAACACCGGUGGCGAAAGCGCUCUACUGGACUUAAACUGACACUGAGGGACGAAAGCUAGGGGAGCGAAAGGGAUUAGAUACCCCUGUAGUCCUAGCCGUAAACGAUGGAUACUAGGUGUUGCCCG